CCCUGGCGGCGGGCGCACUGCUCGCACGCUCGCCCUGGGGCUGCAGAUCGGCUUGCGGGACGGGGUCCCAGAGAGGCCGGUCCACGCGGCCCGCACGCGCGAGUGUUAGCUCUGCACACGACGGAAGGCGGAGGCGCGGGUGGCUGCCGUUUCACCUUAGAGGGAGGGAGGGAAACGUGUCCUGAUUUCUGCACCUAAGGUGCUGGAAACCUUACCCUUGCACUUCCACCGUUUCUUUCCUUGUCCUGAAAAGGUCUCUUUUACCCGCUUCACUUCGCUAUCUACACAGUUUGCACUUGCACUGACUCAGAUCUUGUCCUGUCUGGUAAGCUGUGACCCUCAGCCAGCCUGGGUAGCUGCCCUUGAACCAGAGGUUGGGGUCUGGCAGUUUCUAUAGGCGUCCUCAGGCUCGGUCUGCAAGGGGCUUGCCUCUUUCUUCUGGGGUCUUCUCGCCCCCAUGCCUUCUCAGUUGUGGUGAUUAUACCAGAAGGAACGUGGGAGAAGUAUAAUGGAGAAUGCUUAGUCACUGGACAAUGAUUUCGAAAGUUCGGCUGGCUGAGGAAACAAGAGUUUUGUGUAAUGUCUGUGACUUACUCAAUGGUUCUAGGAGGCACGAGACUGAGUUUCUUUGGGCUCUGCUCGCCUACUCUUAAGGGGCUCUACCUUCUUAGGGUGAACUCGGCACCCACCUAGAACCUCCAGUGUGUGAAAGGGCCUACCUACCUCAUUGGGCCCCAACCUCCAGCCUCUUGUGAGAGUGACGACCAGCCCCAAAAUGGCUGCACACAAACAAGACCCUAAGGUACAGAGUCCUACUAUGCAAAUAGACGUUUAUUUUCCCCUGUUAGAACAACACAGGACCAGCUAUGUAAUUUGCAGGGAGGGCCCGUUGCAAAAUGAAAAUGUGGGGUCCCUUACUCAAAAUUAAUGAAGAAUUUCAAGAAGGCAACAGGAGAGCAUGAAGCCAAGCGUGGAGCCCUUCUGAGUGCCUGCCCUGUGGAAGCCAGACCUAGGUGGGGAAUUUGGGGGCAUUUCUUGUAUAGCAACCUUGUUCGAUGUUCACUUAAAUGAAGAAACAAAUUUUAUAACACCACUCACCUGUUUAAAAGCCUCUGCUGGCUUCAAUUUGCAAUAAGAAUCCAGGGCCCGCCAAUUUGGGCUCACCUACCCCUCUUACUCAUCUUAUCUCACCCCAUACUUCACUAGGCUCCCCUCAAUCCCCUUAGCCUCUUUCUGUUCCUCAGAUACCCCAAGUUUUUACCUGCCUGAGCCCUAUGCAUACAUACACUGGUCUUUUGGGAUGCUGUUUUCCUGACUGUGUUCAUGGACUGCCUCCUUCCCAUUCUCUAGGUCUCAGUUCAGUCAUCAUCUCCUCAAAGACACCCUCAUUGAUUGCUUCUUCCAGUGACUGUAUCACACUUGCAAUCCUCAUAACACUUGUUAAACCUAUCCCUGUUUAUUAUUUGUCUGUUUUCAUCUCUCCUCGCCAGCGUGUAAGUUCACAACAGGAGGGAGUUUGUUCUGUGUUAACAGCCUUUUCCAUCCAGUAUUCCAUGAGACAAUUCAGUCUAAUCCCCCAGGGUAUCUAUGUGUGUAAUGAAUUCCCUGCUCUCCUGUAUAUCUAGAAUGUCACUGUAUGCCAUCCCUGGGAGAACUGAGAAAAUCGUCAAGCAAAUCACUUUCUGUGUCUUGUGGUUCAGAAACCCUGGUUAAGCAAAGCAAUGCCUGAUACAGGCAUUUUCAAAUAUUUCAAAAAUAUUUUUUGAAUGAAUAAAUGAACGUCACUGACCAACACUGAGAUCAGGAAUCACAGGUUAAUUCAGCCAUUCAGAUCUCAGCACUGGCUCUAAGACCUAUCGAGCCACAAUUGAGGGGGGAAGAGAAUAAUGAGCAUGCAUAGCGCAAAAAACUUCCCUAAAGGACUUUUAAUGAGAGCUCUACUCCUUCACACCCCUUCCAACCUCUCCCCUCUCUCUGCCCUCUCUGGACGGCAGAGUUCUUUCCGUUUGCGGCAGUCUAUCAGUCUGUGAGAUGUCUAAGAAGAUGACUGUCAAGCCUGACAUAAGAGUGUUGUGGAGGACUUUUUUUUUUUUUGAGUCGGAGUCUUGCUCUGUCGCCCAGACUGUAGUGCAGUGGUGCCAUCUCGGCUCACUGCAAGCUCUGCCUCCCGGGUUCAUGCCAUUCUUUGUGGAGGACUUUUACUAGGGGCAGAAGUAGUAAUGCCCUUGAGUGUAAUGGAGAGUUUAGGGGAAAUUUCAGGAACACUUGGUUCAUCUAUGAGUAGGUAGAUGUCUAGGAUGUUAGGCAUGCAUGAGAUAAUACCUAGCAUCAAAGGGAAGUUAGAGUGAGCUUAUAAACUGUAAUUCUAGACAAUGUCUAUUGGAAGUUCAGGGUGAGGUAGGGAGGAAGUCCUCUCUGUGUGAUCAAAAGCAAGUGUGUUUUGGUUAAUCAGGAUGAAGCAUAACAUUGGGGGCUGUUUCAUGAUUUUAGAGUUUGGAGCUGUUAGGAAGAGAAUUUCAGCUUAGUUUUGCAGGCAGCCCAAGGAGCAAAGGAAAGGAAGGAACUAAUGACUGUUCUUGAUGUGUCCAAACACCAAAUCAUUAAUAAAUAUUUAUUCAGGGCCAGAUUGUACUAGAUUCCAGGGAUAUAACUGUGAGCAGGGCUGUCUUGGUCCAUGUACAUACAGAGCUUGCUUAGAGUCUAUUGAGGAAAAUAGAUGAUAUCAUUUACACCAAAGGAGAUAAGCACUGUGCCGGGGAUGUAGAGGAUGCUAUGGAGGAAGCGUGGCAUGACCUGAGCCAUGCGCACACAUGCGUGUGUGUGUGUGUGUGUAUGUAUGUGUGUGUGUUUGGCAGGAAGGCUUUCCAGAGCCUGAAGAAUGCGUAAACAUUAUCCAGGUGCAGGGAUAUAUGGGAUGGGGUUGGAGAAUUGAGAGGAUGUGGCAGGGGAAACAGAGAGAACAUGGGCCAUCAAAGAAACUGAAAGUAGUUCAGUCAGUCUUGUGUGCAGAUGUUUUGGUGGAUAAGAAGCUGUUGGGGAGGAGUGAAGAGAGAUGAGUUGAAGACUAAGAGGGGACUAAAUAAUACGUGACUUUGGAAAGAUCUGUUGCGAAUUGUGGUCUUUAUCCAAAGCUGGGAUUCUUAACUAGUUUUUGUGACAUGGACCUCUUUGGCAGUCUGAUGAAACCUGUAAGUUUUUCAGAAAAUAAUGUUUUUAGUUGAAUAAGAUAAGAUGCAUAAGAUUCAAAAGAAAACCAAUUACAUUGAAAUACUGAUAUCGGGCCAACUUUGUGAUAUAUUAAAACCAACUUUGUGACAUAGUAAUAUAAAUGAUUCUUUUUUUUUCUUUUUUUUGAGACAGAGUCUCACUCUGUCACCCAGGCUGGAGUGAAGUGGCAUGAGCACGGUUGGCUGCAGCCAAGACCUCCUGGGCGAUCCUCUCACCUCAGCCUCCAGAGUAGCUGGGACCAUAGGUGCAUACCACCACACCUGGCUAAUUUAAAAAAAAAUUCUAUAUAUAUAUAUAUAUAUAUAUUCUGAGUAGAGAUGGGGUCUCCUUGUGUUUCCUGGACUGGUCUCAAACCCUGAGGCUCAAGUGAUCCUCCCACCUCAGCCUCCUAAAGUGUUGGAAUUACAGGCAUGAGCCACUGCACCUAGCCAUGCACUUAUUUACUAAUGGCAUUAAAUAAUAGGAUUUAGCAGUGGGUCCAAUUAAUGCAAUUUCAAAAUUGUGCUUAGCAUAAACAAUAUUUUGAGAUGACUUUAAUAAUUAUAAUAUGAUAUAAACGUGGUAUGGGUUAUGGUUUGCUGCCCAUAUAAUUGAAGGAAAUUAACUGUAGUUAGAAGUUAGUGGAAGUAAAACUGUAACUUUUGCCAUCUAAAUUCAUGAGCCCUUUGAAUUCUGUCCAUACACCCCAGACAAGAACUGCUAAUGCAGAGCAUCAUGAGCCAUUCAAAAAUUUUAAGUAGGGAGUGAAAUUAUCCAAUUUAAGUAGAGCCCUCUGUCUACAUAUGAAGCUGCAUGAAAUUGUUUUUUAUAUUUACUGUAAGGAAAGAGAGAAUGUCCUUCCCCAUGUUUUUAUGGCAUCCUCUUUG
rnacentral:lncRNA from 10 species